rnacentral:rRNA from 1 species
UUAAGCCUUGACGAGUAAGAGGGUCGCGGCGGUGAGCGCAGAAGGGUCAGGGCGAGAGCCUGCCUGGAGCCGCCGUUGGUGCAGAUCUUGGUGGUAGUAGCAAAUACUCUAGCGAGGGCCUGGAGGACUGACGUGGAGAAGGGUUUCUUGUGAACAGCCGUUGCACAAGAGUCAGUCGACCCUAAGCCCUAGGAGAAAUCCGAUGCCGAUGGGUGGCUUGACAUGGCAAUAGUGUUCGACUAUGUCGUUCACUGUCAAAACACAGACCACAGACUGUGAAGUUUGUACCUCACACCUUUGGUGUGUUGCACGACUGAACAGCUCCUGUCGGGCAAAAGGGAAUCCGGUUCCUAUUCCGGAACCCGGCUGCGUAACCGCUACUCAGCGGGCACUUGCUUGCGAGCGCUCGACGGGGUAACCCAAACUGGCCUGGAGACGCCGGCGGGGGGUCUGGAAAGAGUUUUCUUUUCUUUAUAAGUGUUCGAGUACCCUGGAAUCCUAUAGCAGGGAGAUAGGGUUUGGAACACGAAGAGCACCGCAGUUGCAGCGGUGUCCGGACCUUCCCCCCGGACCUUGAAAAUCCAGGUGAGGGCCACGCGGAAGUCGCGCCGG